UCAACAACGAUGGGACGCGGAUUGCAGCAGGAUUGAAGAACGGUUCCAUUAAGGUUUAUGCUGUCCACGAUGGGCUGCUUCACCAUAUUCUUGCUGACAGUGAGACUGCCACGUUGGGGCUACCUAUCACCUCCCUGCGCUAUCUGCCCCGGGGCCCUGCCCACAACGGAGACGUCUUGCUCGCCACCUAUUCUGGUGGGAAGGUGAAACUAUGGCACGUCUCAUCCCGCACUUGUAUGCGCACGUUAACAGAGGACCGGCAGACAAUGAUAUCCUGCUUCAACCCUUCAGGUUCCAGGUUCCUCACAGCAGGAGCAGGGCUUGGUAUUAACAUGUAUGAUACUCAGACCUGGAAUAAAACAGGAACCUAUGAGCCAAGGUAAGCUGGUGAAAGCAGGACGUCUGGUAGCAGUUGGAAUGUGUGUGUGUGAGAGAGAGAGACUAAAAAAAAUACUAAAUAGACUGAAUUUGGUAGUGAUGCUGUGGCUGGGUUUUUUGUGCUUUAAACCACUCACCUCC
rnacentral:lncRNA from 1 species